CCUACGGGAGGCAGCAGUAGGGAAUAUUGCUCAAUGGGCGAACCCCUGAAGCAGCAACGUCGCGUGGAGGAUGAAGGUUUUCGGAUUUUUAACUCCUUUUGUUAGAGAAGAAAAUGACGGUAUCUAACGAAUAAGCACCGGCUAACUCCGUGCCAGCAGCCGCGGUCAUACGGAGGGUGCAAGCGUUACUCGGAAUCACUGGGCGUAAAGCGCGCGUAGGCGGGAUAGCAAGUCAGAUGUGAAAUCCUCUGGCUUAACCAUAGAACUGCAUUUGAAACUGUUAUUCUAGAGUUUGGGAGAGGUAGGUGGAAUUCUUGGUGUAGGGGUAAAAUGCGUAGAGAUCAAGAGGAACACUGAUUGCGAAGGCGACCUGCCAGAACAUAACUGACGCUGAUGCGCGAAAGCGUGGGGAGCAAACAGGAUUAGAUACCCGAGUAGUC
rnacentral:rRNA from 1 species